rnacentral:lncRNA from 1 species
GAUUUUUGCUAGGUAUAACCCGAGGUGGUUGACGGUGGUUGGAGGUGGUCGGAGGUGGACGAGGUGGAGGACGACGAUUCGUGCUGGUUCUGUGCCCCACCUAGUGAUCCACUAGUA